UGGCCUGGUGGGCUGCAUCCAGCCCCCAGGCCACAUUUUGCCCACCCCUGGGUUAUAUGCAUUACUUACCAUGGGAAUCAGACAUGCUAAAGAACACGUACCAAGUACGUAUCCAUGACCAGAAAGAGCUCAAGUCAAAUAUCUAAACAAAAGAGGCCUGUGGUCAACUCUGCAAUCCUUACACCCCCCGUCACAAAGGAGCCACAAGCUUCCCACAUUAUUCAAUCCCAAGUACCCUGGGAGUUUACAAAGGCCCACGUCCAAAGGCCACAUCCAGCUCGCACAUCUUCACCCUCGACCAUUAGUGGUCCGAUUGCCAAUAGGGUAUUGAUCCAACCUAUCCUGUUCCUGCCUUUCAGCCCCAACCAGAGAAGUUCAGGUUAAAAAUAGAACUGAAACUUCAUAUCUCCUGGCCACUCACACCCUUGUGAACAGCUUCAGGGAAUGACAUCAUGGUGAGUCAGGCAAGUUUCAGCAUGUCCAAACAAGCACUGGCAGGUAACUAGGGCUCAGGACAAGUUUGAACUUGAUGCUUAUAAAAGCAAACAAGAUUCCUCCUCCCCUCCAGACACGCAGAACCGAGCCAUACAAGUGCCCGAUCCCCAGGUGCCGAACGCUGUGUACCUCCCACUGAUUUCGACACUAGUGGUAGCUCCUCAGGUGGCUAUCUGGCACAACUAGAUGUUUAGAGACUCGAUGCUUUGUCUUUCCAACACCAUCACAUGACGGCGGAAGCUACCGAGCACUAAGGACACCGAGCUGGAUACUCUUCAGUAUUAGAAUGAGGACAUUUAAGUUUCCUUCCUUUUGUCGGACAAGCCUGCAGCUGACGCACGCAAUCAGCUGGCCCCAAGGAAGCGCACAGACCCAAAUCUGGUGCACUUCUCUUAAGAAAACCAGCCAAGCAUAUGACCAGCUCUGCUCACUAUGAGCACUGGCAGGGAAUAGUCCUGUUCCUACACUUAGCAAGAUUUCAGCAGGACAAGAGGGGCAUGCCCCAUUCAGGUCAAAAGCAAGCCAGCUCGGUGAUCUUCGGCAGUCAUCCCCGCUCCCCCAAUCCUCACCACCCGUCCCUCUGGGCAGCCUCUUCUCUCCCUUGCACCAAGCCGGGAAGGAAGGCAGAGUCCUGGCCCGCGCCAGCAAAGCCCACCGCAGCGAGGAGACCGCAAGGAAGCUUUGCGGCUCAUCCGGCCGUGUCUCCUUAGCCUAGGACACCCUGGUCAUGCAAGCCUGCCACUUCCAGGCAAGGAAUCACUCUGCUGACUGCAUCGCCUGCAUAGGCAACCUGGAAGGUCAAAAACACACAUGAUGGGACAAACGGGACACGAAUAUAUGCGAGUGCUCUGAAGUGCAGACUAUGGAGCACCUGCUGGCUUGCUGACUGCUCGGUGAGACACCUUGGUGUACGAAGGAGGACCUCGCUGCAGCAAUAGAAAGCACCAUCACUUAUGCGUGAUACUGGAAAAAUAUCUAGUUUAUGACAAGGAUGCAAGAAGAUGAACUCUUCUGACUUCUGUGCUCGUGUAAAUUUGACACUUAACUACUGGAUUAUGUCCAGGCAGGAGUCAGAAUAAGAUCGCCUCAUGCAAAGAAUGACGGCAGCCAAAAUUGCUCUAAGACCGGAUCCAGAGCUAACACCAAUGGAAAUAGUGCCAUUGACUUCUAAGUGAUUUAAGGGCUGAGGACCCUGUGAGGACACCUGCCUUGUCAGCACCUAUUUAAUAAAAUAGCUGUACAAAGCACAAAGGUACAUUUUCCCCCAAAGUUUUCUUAAUUCUUUAUUUGCCUGGAACUGACAUGGAUUCAGACUGGUUCUAAAGCAGGCAUAUUUGUUUCAACAGCAGUAAUCAAAUAAACCUAAUACCUAGUAA